GUGCAAAAGUAAUUGUGGUUCUUGCCAUUGAAAGUAAUGGCAAAAACUGCAAUUACUUU
ensembl:miRNA